rnacentral:rRNA from 1 species
AAUAUUUGACAAUGGGGGCAACCCUGAUCCAGCCAUGCCGCGUGUGUGAAGAAGGUCUUCGGAUUGUAAAGCACUUUAUGUUGGGAGGAAGGGCUUUAGUCUAAUACCCUGAAGUUUUGACGUUACCAACAUAUUAAGCACCGGCUACCUCUUUGCCAGCAGCCGCGGUAAUACAGAGGGUGCAAGCGUUAAUCGGAAUUACUGGGCGUAAAGCGCGCGUAGGUGGUUCAGUAAGAUGGGUGUGAAAUCCCCGGGCUUAACCUGGGAACUGCUUUCAUAACUGAUGAGCUAGAGUACGGUAGAGGGUAGUGGAAUUUCCUGUGUAGCGGUGAAAUGCGUAGAUAUAGGAAGGAACACCAAUGGCGAAGGCGACUACCUGGACUGAUACUGACACUGAGGUGCGAAAGCGUGGGGAGCAAACA